rnacentral:lncRNA from 10 species
CAGGAACAACAAACACUUCUGGGUAAAAUUACAUAUAGGAUCCAUUAUGAGAGAAGACUAUGUGAAUCAAUGAGUAAGUCCAAUUUACAUCAGCGAGUCCCACGCCUAACCCACUUCUGUUUGUAUAAACUUGCUGUGAGACUUCAACUGCUUUAAAACAAUCUCCUUAUGGCUCAGUGAAUGAGUCAGGAUUUCUGGGGACCUGAUGCACAAAAUCACGAUCAAAGCUGGUUGGUGAGUCACAUCCUUCAUGAAUGAUCACUCCUGGGCAGGAACAUAUACAGUCUCCCCCCGAUCCCCACCCACUGUUGCUCAGUAUCUCCUCUACCUGGUCAGAGCCAAGGGUCACAGAGACAUUGGCUGGAGACAAGAGUAGAGAUCACAAGAGGACUGAACCAGAAGCCGGCUCCAUGGGACAUUCUUUCUAUUGCUUCGUCUUGGGUAGGAAAGGUCAGUCACACUGGAUAUCCUGGUGCAGGUACUUUUUGUUCCCCUCCUGUAUCAGUCCAUUUUCACAUUGCUGUAAAGAACUUCCUGAGACAAAACUUCCUGAGACUGGGUAAUGUAUAAAGGAGAGAGGUUUAAUUGACUUACAGUUCCACAUAGCUGGGGAGGCCUCAGGAAACUUACAAUCAUGGAGAAACUUGAAGGGGAAGCAGGCACCUUCUUUUUUUUUUUUUUGACGGAGUCUCGCUCUGUCGCCCAGGCUGGAGUGCGGUGGCGCGAUCUCGGCUCACUCCAAGCUCCGCCUCCCGGGUUCCCGCCAUUCUCCUGCCUCAACCUUCCGAGUAGCUGGGACUACAGGCGCACACCGCCACGCCC